AGUUGCUCAUUCAACUUUUUAUGUAGGCCCACAAUCAGGUGGAAACAUGCCACAUAAGCCCAGAAUGACGCCAAAGUAAGGUGCCUACCGUCCAACUUCAUGAUACUCGCCUUCGGGCUUUAUCAAACACAGGGCGACACGUGGAGUGAGGCACCACCUA
rnacentral:sRNA from 1 species